GUUGGGUAGGGGAGCGUUCUGUAAGCCUGUGAAGGUGGCCUGUGAGGGUUGCUGGAGGUAUCAGAAGUGCGAAUGCUGACAUAAGUAACGAUAAAGCGGGUGAAAAGCCCGCUCGCCGGAAGACCAAGGGUUCCUGUCCAACGUUAAUCGGGGCAGGGUGAGUCGACCCCUAAGGCGAGGCCGAAAGGCGUAGUCGAUGGGAAACGGGUUAAUAUUCCCGUACUUGGUGUUACUGCGAAGGGGGGACGGAGAAGGCUAUGUUGGCCGGGCGACGGUUGUCCCGGUUUAAGCGUGUAGGUGUGUGUUCCAGGUAAAUCCGGUUCACUUUAACACUGAGGCGUGAUGACGAGGCACUACGGUGCUGAAGCAACAAAUGCCCUGCUUCCAGGAAAAGCCUCUAAGCAUCAGGUAACAUCAAAUCGUACCCCAAACCGACACAGGUGGUCAGGUAGAGAAUACCAAGGCGCUUGAGAGAACUCGGGUGAAGGAACUAGGCAAAAUGGUGCCGUAACUUCGGGAGAAGGCACGCUGACAUGUAGGUGAAGUGAUUUACUCAUGGAGCUGAAGUCAGUCGAAGAUACCAGCUGGCUGCAACUGUUUAUUAAAAACACAGCACUGUGCAAACACGAAAGUGGACGUAUACGGUGUGACGCCUGCCCGGUGCCGGAAGGUUAAUUGAUGGGGUCAGCGCAAGCGAAGCUCCUGAUCGAAGCCCCGGUAAACGGCGGCCGUAACUAUAACGGUCCUAAGGUAGCGAAAUUCCUUGUCGGGUAAGUUCCGACCUGCACGAAUGGCGUAAUGAUGGCCAGGCUGUCUCCACCCGAGACUCAGUGAAAUUGAACUCGCUGUGAAGAUGCAGUGUACCCGCGGCAAGACGGAAAGACCCCGUGAACCUUUACUAUAGCUUGACACUGAACAUUGAGCCUUGAUGUGUAGGAUAGGUGGGAGGCUUUGAAGCGUGGACGCCAGUCUGCAUGGAGCCGGCCUUGAAAUACCACCCUUUAAUGUUUGAUGUUCUAACGUGGACCCGUGAUCCGGGUUGCGGACAGUGUCUGGUGGGUAGUUUGACUGGGGCGGUCUCCUCCUAAAGAGUAACGGAGGAGCACGAAGGUUGGCUAAUCCUGGUCGGACAUCAGGAGGUUAGUGCAAUGGCAUAAGCCAGCUUGACUGCGAGCGUGACGGCGCGAGCAGGUGCGAAAGCAGGUCAUAGUGAUCCGGUGGUUCUGAAUGGAAGGGCCAUCGCUCAACGGAUAAAAGGUACUCCGGGGAUAACAGGCUGAUACCGCCCAAGAGUUCAUAUCGACGGCGGUGUUUGGCACCUCGAUGUCGGCUCAUCACAUCCUGGGGCUGAAGUAGGUCCCAAGGGUAUGGCUGUUCGCCAUUUAAAGUGGUACGCGAGCUGGGUUUAGAACGUCGUGAGACAGUUCGGUCCCUAUCUGCCGUGGGCGCUGGAGAACUGAGGGGGGCUGCUCCUAGUACGAGAGGACCGGAGUGGACGCAUCACUGGUGUUCGGGUUGUCAUGCCAAUGGCACUGCCCGGUAGCUAAAUGCGGAAGAGAUAAGUGCUGAAAGCAUCUAAGCACGAAACUUGCCCCGAGAUGAGUUCUCCCUGAGACUUAAAGUCUCCUGAAGGAACGUUGAAGACGACGACGUUGAUAGGCCGGGUGUGUAAGCGCAGCGAUGCGUUGAGCUAACCGGUACUAAUGAACCGUGAGGCUUAACCUUACAACGCCGA
rnacentral:rRNA from 1 species